GAUGAUGAGGAGGAUGGUGAUGCCGGCACCGGUGUUCAACGUGAGCAGUAGUCCGCUUUUAUCUCCGGACACAGGCUACAGUUUCAGGCAGCAAAACGGCUCACCGGCCUCCACCUUGUGUAGCCACCCCCCCCGUUCGCGUCGGG